rnacentral:ribozyme from 1 species
UCUCGCACCGCAGCCGCCGCACGAGCACGCGGAC